rnacentral:lncRNA from 1 species
GAGGGACAUGGGGACGCUGAGGUAGCGCACGCGGGCCACCAUCGGCCAAGGAUGAGACCAUUAGAACAUCUGCAAUGGGUUGAAACGCCUCAAAUGCAACACAGACACAGGAAGCAUCAACUCUGAGGCUUUGGCCAGGAUGUGAGCCCGACUUUCGCAGCCCCAACUGGCAGGCUGACCUCAUGUGAACUCCCUGGCGAUGGCAUCCUGGAGACACCCACAUGGCUGAGCUGGCAUCAUAGGCACUCAUAAUCCAGGUUCAGUUUCUGCCAGCACUGAUUUGGUUUAUUCCACAUGGCUUGGGCCACUGCGGGACUCCAUUUGUUCUGGGGCCACCUUCCUGUCACCUUUUACUGUUUCUUGAGUUAGCAAGAAAGGCAGAUCCGACUGAAGACUCCAGCACUCUCCUCAGCUGCAGCCCCCACAAAGCUCCGCGAAGUCCUUUCUCCCACAGGACAGAUCUGAGGCACCCACCAUUAGAAGAAAGGAGUGGAGAAAUGAUAUGCAGGAAGAAGGCCCAUUCUGAUUCACCAAUCGCAUGGACGCACUUUCCUACCAGGCUAGGAGGGAGG